UUUAGCAAUGGAUGAAGAAGAUUAAGUGGUACUUUCUCUGAUUCUUCCGCGAGAUGGAGACGUCUACAUAAUUUUGGGGGUUUCUCUUUUAAUCUUCUUUGGAUGUUAAUUAGGUUUUUUCUCUGAUUAAGUGGUACUUUCUCUUUGGUUUGUAGGGAUUCGUUCAUUGAAGGAAAGCUUGGGUUUUUGAUACAGCGGGUUGCAAACAAAUUCAGUUUAGGGGAUUCGUCGAUUGAAGGAAAGCUUGGAUUUUUGAUACCGUGGAUUGCAAACAGAUUCAAUUUAGGGUUUACAUCCAUUGAAGUAAAGCAUAAUCACCGAGAUGAUGAGGAGGAAUAGAAGAAAAAGAGAAAAAACUGAAGUGGAGAAAAUAUCAGGGCAUGGAUAUGUAUUUUUGGAUCGAAAUGACUGUUUACAUCUCUAAGAACAUAUAAUCCCUCUGCCACCUACAUAAGGCUAAUGUAUGUUGGAUUGACUUAUUCUAUGUUUGUGUUCAGAUUCUGCAAGGCAUGGGAAGAAAGUGAAAAGACAAAAGCAUAGAACAAGCGUAUGGGACUGUAAUUUUACCCUGUUAUUCGUCUAAUCACAUAGCUUUCCAUAUUAUUACUGAAGGGCGUUGGAAAAGAUGUCCUCCCAAGAAAGCUACUAUUGAAAUGGAGUUCAAGAAAAUUGAGGUAAUCACAUAUUUUUGGUAAUUGAACCUUCACCGUAUUUGGCAGUUUAAAUUGAGACGAGAUGAUGAUUUUUCCGUAUCUACAUUUUAUGUUUUUAUGUUUAGUCGGUUCCAGUUUUUUAUUUCAUGUAAAAGGAAAAGUUGAUACCGCGUCUGUUGUACCCCGGAUAGGCAUUUCUAGCAGAUCAAAGUGUUAAAUGUUUUGCAUCAUUUCACUGUUUCAUAUCUUUUUGGGUAAUGCUGCAAGGGGGAUACUCUUCAUAUUCUAUCACUCUCUCAUUCUUCAAAGUACAAUUGUUUGUGAAAAUACCUGAGAGAAAAAAAAAAUUAUGAAACAAAUGUACGAAUUGUCUCCCCCUAGCAAAGUUUUCUUUCAUAUUACAUCACUAUACUACCAAUGUUAUUACUGCUUCAAAAGGGUGUGAGUUAUUACUGUCUUUAAAACUUGCAAUUUUCAGCAAUUGUGAUUUGUAUAUCUGGGCCAGCUAAAAGACACUAUACUACCAAUGUUGUCAUUUCCAGGUGUUGUCAGUGUUAAUUCAUACCUUCCCACAUAUCGGUUAGUUUUCAGCUUUAUUUUUUUGGUUAAAUAUCUUGGAUUCAUGAUUCUAGGGUUAUAUAAAUUAUUGAAGUUCAAAAUAUCGAUAUGAUGCAAGAAUUAUAGGUCAAGAUACCUAUCUGAUGCAAGAAAUAAUGCAUCUUCUCCUCUUUCUGAGGUUCUUAAUUGAACAUUGAAUGCUGGCUGGUGAUUGAAUACCAGCAACUUUAGCUUCCAAUGUUUUGAAUUUUUUGAAUUGCCUGUAAUAUUUUAUGAGCCUAUACAGGUGGAAUUGUUGCUUAGUGAAAGGAUUAUUGUGAAUGGUAUUUAACUCUUAACUUCACCUCAUUGAUUUUUCUCAAAUCUUAAAAAUAGUUAUUUCACGGUAGAGUUCAGUUGGUAGCUUAAAUGACAAGGUUUACAGUUUUGAAGGAUAUAAUUGCAGUCAUAACUUAGCUUGGCCGUUAAAGGGUUAGAUGGAUUAGGAUAGCUAAUCGAGUACAAUAUUUACUGAAUGACGACGGUCUGCAAAAGCUAAUUACAGGUGCGAUCUUGUUGGAUGAAGGAACUUGGCUUCUCGGUCUUCAUCUAGCUCCCAAAAUUUUGAGAGUGGAUACUCUAAAUCACGAGGAGAGCUGGUCUAGCUUAUGGCGAAGUAUUCUGUAUCAACAUGUCAGUUUCCAUCUCUUUUCUCAAUUUGCUACAUGCUGAUUAUUUGUAUUUUAGGUUUGUGGACCGGUCAAUUUUGAUAUGGUAAUGGUGCAUACAGUCAUGUACUUCAGGUUUGUCUAAGCAUAGUCAAAUUUGAUGUCCGAUCUCUUCUAUGAGGUGUCUAAUAAAAGAGAUGCGGAAAAUAAUUAAUCGAAAAAUGUUUGUUUUAUGUGUCUUAAUUUAUCCAUUGAGUAAUUUCUCCCGGGAUGUAAUCAGAAAAAAAGUACAAUUGUAUGAUUAUGUAGAUUGACACUUCAAUUAUAAUAAUGCAUAUUUGAUA